GUGUUGUGUUGUAAGGGCGCAUGGUGGAUGCCUUGGCAUAGUAGGCCGAUGAAGGACGUGAGAGGCUGCGAUAGGCCUCGGGGAGCUGCCAACUGAGCGUUGAUCCGAGGGUGUCCGAAUGGGGAAACCUGGCCGUCGUUGUGGGCGGUCGCCGUUAGAUGAAUUCAUAGUCUAAUUGGUGGUUACGCGGGGAAGUGAAACAUCUCAGUACCCGUAGGAGUA
rnacentral:rRNA from 1 species